UACGGAAGGUCCGGGCGUUAUCCAGAUUUAUUGGGUUUAAAGGGAGCGUAGGCCGUUUGUUAAGCGUGUUGUGAAAUGUCGGGGCUCAACCUGGGCAUUGCAGCGCGAACUGGCAGACUUGAGUGCGCGGGAAGUAGGCGGAAUUCGUCGUGUAGCGGUGAAAUGCUUAGAUAUGACGAAGAACUCCGAUUGCGAAGGCAGCCUGCUGUAGCGUAACUGACGCUGAAGCUCGAAAGCGUGGGUAUCGAACAGG
rnacentral:rRNA from 1 species